rnacentral:rRNA from 1 species
GUCGGGAGUCUUGCACAAUGGGGGAAACCCUGAUGCAGCGACGUCGCGUGUGGGAUGAAGUAUUUCGGUAUGUAAACCACUUUUGCGGGGGGCGAAAAAAAUGACGGUACCCCGCGAAUAAGCCCCGGCUAACUACGUGCCAGCAGCCGCGGUAAUACGUAGGGGGCGAGCGUUGCUCGGAUUGACUGGGCGUAAAGCGCGCGUAGGCGGUCCAUUAAGUGUGCGGUGAAAUUCGGAGGCUCAACCUCCGUCCCGCCGCGCAAACUGAUGGUCUUGAGAUUGGGAGGGGGAUGCGGAAUUCCUGGUGUAGCGGUGAAAUGCGUAGAUAUCGGGAGGAACACCAGUGGCGAAGGCGGCUUCCUGGCACAAUACUGACGCUCAUGUGCGAAAGCUAGGGCAGCGAACGGGAUUAGAUACCCUAGUAGUCC